AUAAUCAAAUCUACGGAGGUUACAGAUGGGCAUGCGUGCCAUUAGUUAGAUGGUGAGGUAACGGCUCACCAUGACAUCGAUGGCUAGGGGUUCUGCAAGGAAGAUCCCCCACACUGGUACUGAGACACGGACCAGACUCCUACGGGAGGCAGCAGUGAGGAAUAUUGGUCAAUGGAGGCAACUCUGAACCAGCCAAGCCGCGUGAAGGAAGACUGUUCUAUGAAUUGUAAACUUCUUUUGUGGUAGAGUAAAUAUAGCUACGUGUAGUUAUUUGCAAGUAUACCAUGAAUAAGCAUCGGCUAACUCCGUGCCAGCAGCCGCGGUAAUACGGAGGAUGCAGGCGUUAUCCGGAUUUAUUAGGUUUAAAGGGUGUCUAGGCUGCCACAUAAGUCAGGGGUGAAAGUCGGUUGCUCAACAAUCGAAUUGCCUUUGAAACUGUGUGGCUCGAGUAUAGAUGAGGUAGGCGGAAUGUGUAGUGUGGCGGUGAAAUGCAUAGAUAUUACACAGAACCCCAAUUGCGAAGGCAGCUUACCAAACUAUUACUGACGCUGAAGCACGAAAGCGUGGGUAGCGAACAGGAUUAGAUACCCUGGUAGUCCACGCCGUAAACUAUGCUCACUCGCUGUUGGCAAUAGAUCGUCAGCGGCUAAGGGAAACCGAUAAGUGAGCCACCUGGGGAGUACGAUCGCAAGAUUGAAACUCAAAGGAAUUGACGGGGGCCCGCACAAGCGGAGGAACAUGUGGUUUAAUUCGAUGAUACGCGAGGAACCUUACCUGGGCUUAAAUGUAGAGUGCAUAAAGUGGAAACAUUUUUUUCCUUCGGGACUCUUUACAAGGUGCUGCAUGGUUGUCGUCAGCUCGUGCCGUGAGGUGUCGGGUUAAGUCCCAUAACGAGCGCAACCCCUAUCGUUAGUUACCAGCACGUAGUGGUGGGGACUCU
rnacentral:rRNA from 1 species